AGCCAUAUCACAUUGAAACAUUGGUUCUCUUCUGAUCAUCGAAGUUAAGCAAUGUUGAGCCUGGUUAGUACCUUGAUGGGUGACUACUUGGGAAUACCAGGUAC